rnacentral:lncRNA from 1 species
GCCGGAGUUACAAAUUCUAUAAUAGUCGAAUUGCACAACAUUUUUUUAAUUUUAUAUCUGUAUGUCCUGUACGUUCAUAACUUUUCACUAUAUCAAUACCAGUUGUCAAAUAUGUCUUCUAAUGUCAAUCUGCUGAACAAAAAUUUAUUAAUUUUUUAUUCUGUACAUUAUCUAUAUUUCCAAAAGUAAUUAUUUCGUCCACAUAUUCAAUAAUCACGAUGAAGUGGUUAAAUUCAAUCUUUUAUUGAUCUACAGUCAGCAAAUAAUGGUUUUUACAUUGAUUUUUUUCUUUCACUCAACGAUUCCUGUA